rnacentral:rRNA from 1 species
AGAGUUUGAUCCUGGCUCAGGACGAACGCUGGCGGCGUGCCUAAUACAUGCAAGUCGAGCGAGCUUGCCUAGAUGAUUUUAGUGCUUGCACAAAAUGAAACUAGAUACAAGCGAGCGGCGGACGGGUGAGUAACACGUGGGUAACCUGCCCAAGAGACUGGGAUAACACCUGGAAACAGAUGCUAAUACCGGAUAACAACACUAGACGCAUGUCUAGAGUUUGAAAGAUGGUUCUGCUAUCACUCUUGGAUGGACCUGCGGUGCAUUAGCUAGUUGGUAAGGUAACGGCUUACCAAGGCAAUGAUGCAUAGCCGAGUUGAGAGACUGAUCGGCCACAUUGGGACUGAGACACGGCCCAAACUCCUACGGGAGGCAGCAGUAGGGAAUCUUCCACAAUGGACGAAAGUCUGAUGGAGCAACGCCGCGUGAGUGAAGAAGGGUUUCGGCUCGUAAAGCUCUGUUGGUAGUGAAGAAAGAUAGAGGUAGUAACUGGCCUUUAUUUGACGGUAAUUACUUAGAAAGUCACGGCUAACUACGUGCCAGCAGCCGCGGUAAUACGUAGGUGGCAAGCGUUGUCCGGAUUUAUUGGGCGUAAAGCGAGUGCAGGCGGUUCAAUAAGUCUGAUGUGAAAGCCUUCGGCUCAACCGGAGAAUUGCAUCAGAAACUGUUGAACUUGAGUGCAGAAGAGGAGAGUGGAACUCCAUGUGUAGCGGUGGAAUGCGUAGAUAUAUGGAAGAACACCAGUGGCGAAGGCGGCUCUCUGGUCUGCAACUGACGCUGAGGCUCGAAAGCAUGGGUAGCGAACAGGAUUAGAUACCCUGGUAGUCCAUGCCGUAAACGAUGAG